rnacentral:rRNA from 1 species
UACGUAGGGUGCAAGCGUUGUCCGGAAUCAUUGGGCGUAAAGCGCGCGUAGGUGGUCAUGUAAGUCCGCUGUGAAAGUCAAAGGCUCAACCUUUGAAAGCCGGUGGAUACUGCAUGACUAGAGUACGGAAGAGGCGAGUGGAAUUCCUGGUGUAGCGGUGGAAUGCGCAGAUAUCAGGAGGAACACCAAUAGCGAAGGCAGCUCGCUGGGACGUUACUGACACUGAGGCGCGAAAGCGUGGGGAGCGAACAGG